AGAAUCAACGCUGGCGGCGUGCCUAACACAUGCAAGUCGCACGAGAAAGGGACUUCGGUCCUGAGUAAAGUGGCGCACGGGUGAAUAACACGUGAAUCAUCUACCUCCGAGUGGGGAAUAACCUAGAGAAAUCUGGGCUAAUACCGCAUAACACUUACGAGUCAAAGCAGCAAUGCGCUUGGAGAGGAGUUCGCGGCAGAUUAGUUAGUUGGCGGGGUAAUGGCCCACCAAGACGAUGAUCUGUAUCCGGCCUGAGAGGGCGCACGGACACACUGGAACUGAAACACGGUCCAGACUCCUACGGGAGGCAGCAGUGGGGAAUUUUGCGCAAUGGGGGAAACCCUGACGCAGCAACGCCGCGUGGAGGAUGAAAUAUCUUGGUAUGUAAACUCCUUUCGAUGGGGAAGAUAAUGACGGUACCCAUAGAAGAAGCCCCGGCUAACUUCGCGCCAGCAGCCGC
rnacentral:rRNA from 1 species